rnacentral:rRNA from 1 species
UACAGAGGUCUCAAGCGUUGUUCGGAUUCAUUGGGCGUAAAGGGUGCGUAGGUGGCGCGGUAAGUCGGGUGUGAAAUUUCGGAGCUUAACUCCGAACCUGCAUUCGAUACUGCCGUGCUUGAGGACUGGAGAGGAGACUGGAAUUUACGGUGUAGCAGUGAAAUGCGUAGAGAUCGUAAGGAAGACCAGUGGCGAAGGCGGGUCUCUGGGCAGUUCCUGACGCUGAGGCGCGAAGGCCUGGGGAGCAAACGGG